UUUUGGAACACAGGAGGACUAUGGAAAUGCUUGGAACUUCGUGCUGGAAAAUGCAAAGAACUUGGAGUUUAAUGAGUUGUUGUAUGGAGUGGAAAAUAUGAGAAUGUGGACAGAAAUGCAGACAAUAGAGGAUUGGUUGGUGAAGUUGCAGAGGGAAGUUAUGAAUCUAUUAGAACAGGACCACCGAAUAUGGACUGAAUCAAAGUGAGGCUGGAACUCGCAGACUCAACAAUUUUUUGUAGAAUGUGGAACCAAGACAUUUUUUGCUCCCAGAACUUAGAGGGCUUAACGGAGCUGGCAAAAGCAGUGGUCUGCAACCCUUCCCCAAAAAAUGAAGAGAGAGAGAACCACAAGUCUAAUCUUUUUGUCCACUGGAGCAUGGUCCAACUUCCAGUGCCCUACCCUUGAGCAAAUCACAAGGGAUGUUGCAAGUGGCAACGUGAACAAAUACCGAACAGCUUCAUCAUCAUUAUCCUUAUUCUUCUCUUCAUUGAAGAUCAGUGUCAGCAAAGCCUAAUGAAGACCAGCAAAGAGGGGCAAGGAAGAACAAAAAAAUCAAACAACCAGAACCCUGCCCUCCCACGUCCCUACCCCUCCUGAGUUCCAGGGACUAAACCAGCAGUCAAAGAGUACCCACGGAGGGAGACAUGACGCCAACAGCAUAUGGAGCAGAGGAUGG